rnacentral:pre_miRNA from 1 species
GGCGGGGGCGCGGGCGGCAGUGGCGGGAGCGGCCCCUCGGCCAUCCUCCGUCUGCCCAGUUACCGCUUCCGCUACCGCCGCCCCUCCCGCU